CCCAUGCUUUAUUCGUGUUCACUAGACGAUUAUCUCCAACUUUACUUCUAGGGAAAGCUGCAAGAUGGGAAAGAAAUAGCUAUAAAACGUCUUUCGAGCAGCUCUGGACAGGGUCUAGAAGAGUUCAUGAAUGAAAUCAUACUCAUCUCUAAACUCCAACACAGAAACUUGGUCCGGCUUAUGGGAUGCUGCAUUGAAGGAGAAGAAAAGCUAUUGAUUUAUGAGUUUAUGGUGAACAAAAGCCUCAAUACCUUUAUAUUUGGUAAGUCUCUUAUUGCGCUCAUUUGUGCAUCUUUCCAAAUCCUUUUCGUCAAAAUAUACUCUUUUUAUGUGUUUUGCUCACUCACAUUUUUAUGAUUUGGCUAGAUUCGACGAAAAAGCUUGAGCUUGAUUGGCCCAAGCGGUUCGAAAUCAUUCAAGGUAUUGCUUGUGGACUUCUCUAUCUUCACCGUGACUCAUGUCUCAGGGUUGUUCACCGGGAUUUGAAGGUCAGCAACAUCCUUUUAGAUGAGGACAUGAACCCAAAAAUAUCAGAUUUUGGAUUAGCUCGGAUGUUUCAAGGAACUCAACAUCAAGCCAACACACGCAGGGUUGUUGGAACUCUGUAUGUAUCUGCCUUUCUUUGAUAACAAGAUCAAUCAAAGUCUUUUACUUUCUUAUAUCAUCAAACUGAGAAUUGUUUUGGUAAAUUGAACAGAGGAUAUAUGUCCCCGGAGUAUGCAUGGACAGGAAUGUUCUCUGAGAAAUCCGACAUCUAUGCAUUUGGAGUUCUAUUGUUGGAAAUCAUCACGGGAAAGAGGAUUUCGAGCUUCACCAUUGGAGAGGAAGGCAAAAGUCUUCUCCAAUAUGUAAGUCAUUUACGUUCUCUAUCUUUCUUAAAUCUUGAUUAUGGAUCUAAACGUUUCUUACAUGCUUGUGUUCAUCAAAUUUUCAGACAUGGGAUUGUUGGUGCGAAAGUGGUGGAGCGGAUCUAUUGGAUCAAGAUAUAUCCAGUUCAGGUUCUGAAAUCGAAGUAGCGAGAUGUGUUCAGAUUGGUUUGCUCUGUAUUCAACAGCAUGCUGUGGAUAGACCCAAUAUUGCACAAGUCAUGUCGAUGCUUACUACAACAAUGGAUCUUCCAAAACCAAAACAACCUGUCUUCGCAUUGCAGGUCCAAGAGAGUGAUUCAGAGUCUAAGACUAUGUAUUCUGUGAAUGAUAUAACACAAACUGCUAUAUUUGGUCGAUAAAAGCAUUGCUUAUGCAAUGAUUUCACCAUGUUUACAGAACUAAAUCGAUUGUAAAUUGUUGUAAAUGAAUUUUUGUAGUUCAUAUAAGCUUAGGAUGUGUUGAAUCUCUCUGCUAAAAAAUGUUGUCACUCUUUACUCUUAUGCCAAGAUAUUUUCAGAUAAAUUGAAAAAUGAAUUCAAGAUACAAGAUGAUUUCAGAUAAAUCUUGAAUAUAAAGCAUUUUUAGUUACUCAUAUAUACAAUUAACAAAAAAAAAAAUGUUUUAUGAAGAUUAUCUUAUUAUGGAAUAUUUACAAAAAAUAUAGACAAAUAUAUACGUAAAUGCAAACACAAGUGAAUAUUGCAGACAAAAACAGCAUUUAAUUUUACAACGGGAGAUAAGAUUACCUCAAAAGCACGAGUCUUUGACUCUUUGUGUCUAUGAGAGAGAUAGAGAGAAUGUUAGGUCUCAAAUAUUCAAAGACACGAGACAAAUCCAGAGUGUUGCUAUCUCUCGAAGGUUGUUUUUUUUUUUUUGGUUUCUUGCGUCAUCAGAAAGCUCGUGACUUUGGAUCUUACCGCUUACGCCCAAAUGAUCUCAGCGUGAUCGAUCACAAUUACUUGAAAAAAAAAAAACAAACUUUUUGUCAUUCUUUAUUCUUCAGCUAUAGUGAUUGGUAGGAAAGUUUGACUGCUUCUUACACUUAGAGACGCACUGAUAUUGUUUGACGAAAUGACUGAAUGAGGUUUAGCUUCUUAU
rnacentral:lncRNA from 1 species